GAUGAACGCUAGCGGCAGGCUUAACACAUGCAAGUCGAGGGGCAGCACGUCUUCGGAUGGUGGCGACCGGCGCACGGGUGCGUAACGCGUAUAGAACCUACCUUUUACAGGGGAAUAGCCCAGAGAAAUUUGGAUUAAUGCCCCAUAGUAUUAUUGAAUGGCAUCAUUUAAUAAUUAAACAUUUAUGGGUAAAAGAUGGCUAUGCGUUCUAUUAGCUAGUAGGUAAGGUAACGGCUUACCUAGGCAACGAUAGAUAGGGGUCCUGAGAGGGAGAUCCCCCACACUGGUACUGAGACACGGACCAGACUCCUACGGGAGGCAGCAGUGAGGAAUAUUGGACAAUGGGCGAGAGCCUGAUCCAGCCAUGCCGCGUGCAGGAAGACGGUCCUAUGGAUUGUAAACUGCUUUUUAUACAGGAAGAAACACUCGGACGUGUCCGAGCUUGACGGUACUGUAUGAAUAAGCACCGGCUAACUCCGUGCCAGCAG
rnacentral:rRNA from 1 species